rnacentral:SRP_RNA from 1 species
GCUGGACACAGUGGUGCGUGCCUAUAGUCCCAAGUACUUUGGAGGCUGAGCUAGGAGGAUCACUUCAGCCCAGUAGUUCUGUCCUGUAGUGCGUCAUGCCCAUAGGGUGUGUGCAGUAACUUCAGCAUCAGUAUGUGACCUCCCAGGAAUGGGAGACCACCAUGUUCCCUAAGGAGGGAUGAACUGGUCCAGGUCGGAGAUAGAGCAAGUCAAAAUUCCUGUGCUGAUCAUAAUAAUUUAGAGAUUUAAGGUUACUUACAGAGAAAAUAGCACUAAAUUCUA